rnacentral:lncRNA from 1 species
CUCAUAUAAUAAUCAUUAUGACAAUCUUGUAAUAUGAACUAAUCAAGUUUAUGGACCUAUAGAUCAGGGAAAGAAUAAGACAAGGAGGAUUCUCUUCUUUAGGCAAUUUCAUAGAAAGAAGAUGGUAUUGGUCGUUCAAAAUAUACAGGCCAUGGUACAGGUUUCAGUUUUGCAAACAUCAUUCAAACCUAAAGAUGGGAAUCACCUGCUGUGAAGAAGAAACAUAGCACAUGAUCUGGUUGGCUGAAGCAAUAUGUAUAUAAAGAGUCAUGAAAACGUAUUUGACGGAAUUUGGAAAUAAGACAGGUUUAGAUAAGUAAAUGUUUUCCAAAUGAAAGAGGCAUCGAUGGCUAUGUAAACAGAAGGAUGAGGAAUAGUAGGUGUCUCAGCAGUUAUGCAAUGAAAAAUUGUUAGGAAAAUCAAUCCAUAUUGUGGUUAUGAUUUACAAAGUAGAGUUCUUAGAAUUGUAGGCCAAAUUAAUGAAAGAAGGUAACUUCUACUUUGGUGAGGCAUUCUCUUUUCAAUUUGAUAUCCAUAAAUCUUGAAGUUAGCAGCAGGAUAGUCCGGUAGUAGCUAGCAACCAAGAAGACACUUCAUUUCAGUGCAUUAUGGAAGAGCCAUAGAGAAUCCCUCUCAGGUAGCAAGCAAGUUUCAGCAAUUAAUAUCUUCGACUUUGGGGCUUGAAUGGGUGCAAAUUAGUUUUCAGAAGCACCUGAAAAGGUACAGCCAAUGAUAUUCCCAUUCCAUCACCAUUCAUGCUCGCUAUAAUUGAAUCCCUUGCAACCAUGAAUCAUGCACUUGUAUCCUCUUAUUUGCGUGGUGGUAUGGACUUGCAUUUGAACCAUACAGCUCAUAUCAUCUUUGGACUCAAUACGAAUAGUUGUUGGAUGAAUUGUAAAACCAGUAUGGCU